UGUGGGAUCCUCCCAGACCAGGGCUCAAACCCGUGUUCCCUGCAUUAGCAGGCAGACUCUCAACCACUGCGCCACCAGGGAAGCCCAAAGUCCUAACUCUUAAUACCUCAUAAUAUUACCAUAUUUAGAAAUAGGGUUGUUGUGGUUGUAGUUAGUGAAGAGGAGACCACAGGGUGAGCCCUAAUCCAAUAUGGUGUCCUUAUAAAAGGGGAAAUUUGGACAUAGUCUUACACCCAGGGAAACACCAUAUGAAGAUGAAGGCAGAGAUCAGGGCGUUGCUUUUAUAAGCCAAGGGAUACCAAAGGUUGCCUGCAAAGCACCAGAAGCUACAUGAGGGGCAUGGGACAGAUUCUCUCACGGCCCUCAGAGGGAACCAGCCCUGCCAACACUGUGAUGUUGGACUUCUGGCCUCCCCAACUGUGAGGCCAAUACGUUCCUGUCUUGUACACCACUCAGUUUGUGGUACUUUGUUAUGGCAGCCCUAGCAAACUAAUACAAUGGCCGUUUAGAUGGAAGGAAUUAAAAAGAUUUAUAACUUGGAGUGAAAGUAUGUGCAAAGAAACUUCAUGACACAAGAUGAAAAUGUAAUGUUGAAGAAAACCAGGAACCUAUGUAGACUUAAUCUAGGACUAUUUUUGAAUUGGAGCAAAGGUCUCAAAAUUUUGACCUUGAAAUGUCAAGGGUCUGUUAUACUCUUUCUGAAGCCAAAGUGUUCAGACCUCUCUAGCAGGCUUUGUUAGUUUUGACUGAGUGUACCAUCUUUUAAACUUUACCUUGGUUUGAAGAAACUCAUUUCCCUGAAGGAAAGAAAACCCUGUCAGGUUUCCAUGGGGGAGAGAUUUUCACUAAGCCUAUUAUCAUGUGCCAUGUUGUCUCUUCCUAAUAUAACACAGCGGUCAGGUUCAAAUAAUGGAAAUAAAUACAUAAAACAUCUUACACAAGUUGUAUGUAAUUUGUGCUCAUCCAAGAGCACAAACCACUUAAAAAAUUGCUUAUUGAAUUCAUCUGUAUAGAGAUUUUUUUUUAAAGCCCUAAAACUUUUUCCCCCCCAAAUUCUUAACUCUAGUGUACCAUUCAGUUUUUUUUUCCCUUUAAAGUUAGGUAUUAGAGAACUCAGAAGUGGGUUUUUAAUCUUAAUGAUUAGGGACCAGUUUAAUUAAAAGAAAUUGUAAAUGUUGCUUACUGGUUUUCAGCUUUUACAAUCAACCAGUAGAUUAAACAGAAGACAAGAAUGUGAAGGAAAUCAACUUUGAUAAUGUAAAAGUGAAGGUAUGGUAGACAGAAGUGAGUUAGAAAUGGGGAGGAGGGAAGAGGGCAUGCUCAUGGCAGGAAACCUGGAUGCUGCACAACACUGUUGCGUGAAUGUGAUUUUAAGUAAGUUGUAAAGGUAAUAGCUAUAUUUUUUCUUUCUUUUUUUAAAUUGAAGUAUCAUUGAUUUACAAUGUUGUGUUAGUUUCUGGUGUACAGCAACGUGAUUCAGUCAAACUGAUUUCAUUUCUGGUGUACAAAGUGAUUUCAUUCUUCUGUCAAAAACUGGAAGGAGUAAGGGAGUAAGGUGCGGGGAGUGGUAUAAAUUAAAUCCUCAUUUUUAGGCUGGGGAGUCAAUAGACGAGGGCCAACGAAAUAGCAGUGUAGGUGUGUGUUAUGAAGGUAAUCACCAGAAUUAAAGACCAGUUAUUUAAAAGUGAUAAUCCCUCACAUGAGCAGAAGUAAAGUGGGAGCAAAGGUUUUUUGUUUUCUGUUGUGUUGUGUGCAUGGUUUCUUCGGUAAAAAGAAAUGAGAAAAAAAGUUGUACCGAUCAACAUUUGCUCAAAGAAGCAGCAUGAGAAUCGGAUAACCUAGUGAAUGCUAGUUAUUCAGUUUGUGAGAUGUUAGGCAAGAAAUAAAAUCCUUCUGUGACAAGGAAAUAACGUGAGAAUGCUUACGUGUAAUAGCAGAUAUUUCAUUGUCUUAAAAAAAACACCAUGUGUAUAUAAAAAUGUAGGCAUUUAAUAGUUUCCUACAUGUGGGCCCAGUUUAUUUUUAAUGUUAGACAAAUUACAUUCAGAUAUAGCCAGAAAAAUGAGAAUUCUUAGUUGAAAGUGGCUCUUUUUCUAACCUGCUUUCUAUACUCUUUUGAAACUUCUAAAUGUUGUUUAAGGUAAGGUGAGAUACCACAAAAAUAGGGUUAUGUGUAAGUGAUAGUGGGAUCUUUGCUUGAUUGUCUUAAUAAUGCCAAAUCAGAAGAGGGAUCUUACUGCACCUAAUUUUCAUAAAGCGAGGUUAGUUCAUAGGAAAUAUGCUUAUAUUUUUUUCAGGAUCUGUUUUCUCACUGCAAUCUAACUGUAUUGUAGUGGAAAUUAAUUGUUCAGUAUCAAAAGUUAUAUACGUCAUAAGUGUAGCAAAAUAUAAAAUCUUUUUUAGGAUUUCUUCUAAACAAUUUAAACUAAACCUUAAGGAAUUACAAUUGCUAGAUUUUAUCUAUCACUGUUUAAAUUUGUAGAAGACAGUAAUAAAGACCAACCUAAUAGUGUUUCCUUAAUUAUCGACUACUUAAAUUUUUAUUUUAGCAUAAGUUGUUAUUUGAGCUAUAUUACAUAUACUUAGCUAUAUUAUACCUAGAUACAUAACAUUGGAAAUAUCUGUAAUUAAAUUUCAUUCUCUUGCUUAGCUAGGCAUUUAAGGUUACUUACAAUAAUUUAAAUAUAUAACAUUGAAAAGAAAUGUUAAAAGCAGCUUUUGGGAAUAGUGUCAAUGUGUGUUUUAAUCCUUUAAGGGAGGUACCAGGUACAGCUUAAUACAUAUCUUCUUAGACUCUGACUUGUUAAGCUUAGUUCUUAUGUCUUGCCUUGAAAUUUACAGAAAUAUUUGAAUUAAUCAUUUUAAGCUAUAAUUGUAUGAGAUGUCCUUGUUGCCUGUACUCCCCUUCCCUCUUAUAUGUAAUUUUUAAUAGAUUAAUUAAUAAACUUUUAUGUUUAGAGUAGUUUUAGGUUCACAGCAGAAAACACAGAGAGGUCCCACAUACCCCCUCUUGCCUCCACCACCAGACAUCCACCACCAGAGUUGUACAUUUGUUACAUACCCGGGUGAACCUACAUAAAUACAUCAUUAUCGUCCAGGGUCCAUGCUUUAUGUUGGGGUUCCUUCGGGGUGUUGUACAUUCUUUGGGUUUGGACAAAUAUAUAAUGACAUGUAUCCCUCAUGAUAGUCUUAUACAGAGUAGUUUCACUGCCCUGAAGAUCCUCUGUGUUCCACCCAUUCAUCUCCUCCUCCUCACAACCCCUGGUCUUUUUACUGUCUUAAUAGUUUUGCUUUUUCCGGAAUGUCAUACAAUUGGAAUCAUGUAUGUGGUCUUUUCAGAUUGGCUUCCUUCACUUAGUAAUUUGGAUUUAAAUUCCUCCAUGUCUUUUCAUGGAUUGAUAGCUCAUUUCUUUUUAGUGCUGAAUGAUAUUCUGUUGCCUAGAUGUCCUACAGUUUAUUUAUCCAGUCACCUACUGAAGGGCAUCUUGGUUGCUUCCAAGUUUUGGCAGUGACGAAUAAAAUUGCUGUAACCAUCCACAUGCCUGUUUUUGUGUGAACAUACGUUUUCAAUGCCUGUAGGUAAAUACCAAGGUGUGUGAUUGCAGGAUCAUAUGGUAAAAGUAUGUUCAGUUUUGUAAGAAACUGCCAAACUUUUCCAGAGUGGCUGUACCAUUUUGUAUCCUCACCAGCAAUGAAUAAGGGUCCCUGUUUUUCCACGUCUUGCAAGCAUUUGGUGGUGGUGGAAUUUAUUUUUAAAGCUUUUAUUUGUGGAUUCUGCUAUAUGUUUUUGUAGGGGUUCAAAGCAAAAAAAUUAUUUAAGUGAUCAAAGGAGAGGUAGAAAAUCUUACAUUUCUUGAUGAUAAAAUAGAAAUGGAGCUAGGGGCUGCAUCCUGAGAAGCUGGCAACUAGAACAUUUCAUUCUGAAUAAGACUUGGGCUUUCCUUUAAAAUGUGUCUUAAAAUUUUGUGAAUUUCCUGACUCAUUGGAAGGUAUUUUCAAUAUAUUCAAAUUUCUAUGAGGCAAAGCUUAGGAAUCCUCUUCCCCAAAUACAUAUUUUUUGUUAGAGAGAAAUAAGAAAUGCUUGUUAAUAUGUGGGUUGGGAAGCACAACUGAAUUUACUAGGGCUUUGUCCUUUCCAAUUGUUUUAAAUAUUUUUGCCAUUUAUCAAGAUAAAGUGGAAUAAGUGAUACCUUAAAGUUCCUACUGGAUUGCCAUUUUCACCGCUGGAUUCCAGGCUCAUUGUUUACUGUUUUUGUACUGGUACCUGUAGUUAAAGCAUAGGUUAUAAAUUUAAAAAAUGAUUUACAAAUGAAAAAUUCUCCAAUCAUCCCUUCCUCUCUGAAUAAUAAUUUUUCUGUGCGUAUGUAUAUUAAGGUCGUGCCUGGUCCAUGUGUGGGCAUUUGUGGCAGCUAACACCAGGUCCUGGCCAUGGUUGGGGCAGACCUGUGUUAUCUCAUCUGUGAUCUAUACAAGCCAAUUGAAGUGGGUAUUUAUGUCGAAGAGCACAUAAUUAGUGAGGCUAGGAUGUGAGUCCACUCUGGAGACUGCACCUCUCUCACUGUCUCUGCCCUGAACUUUAUAACCCGCCCAGAAACUGCACACAGAGGGGCUUCGCAGGAGGAGAGGACCAGGGUCACGGAUGCUGUUUGCUGAUUGGCUAAACCUACACUGAAUUUUCAAACACUGGAAAGCUGGUUUCAGUUUUGGUUUAUGUAGUCUCGGUGUUAAAUUUGCACACCAACUUUGGAGCAUGAUUUGGAGCAAUAUCAUAUCUCUGACCCCGUGCUCUAUCGCUUGUGUCCGCGACGGGAAAAUCAUCCUGAAUUUUUGACCGGUUUUGACAAUUUGUUCUCCUGCUCAGACCGUCUUAAAAGUAUUCGGGGCUUCCCUGGCGGUCCAGUGGUUAAGGCUCCGCGCUUCCACUGCAGGGGGCGCCGGUUAGAUCACUUGUCGGGGAACUAAGAUCCCUCAUGGUGUGCGGCGAGGCCAAAGAAAAAAGAGAAGGAAGUCCUCUCACUGAAAGAUAAUUGACUAACAUUUAAAAUACUUUAUUUGAGCCUAUUAUCCAUUUAUAUUCAAAUGCAAAUACAGCUUUUUCGUUGUUUUUUAUUUUUCCACUUGAUUAUAAUAAGCAUUUUAAUGAAAUGGAUUAGGCUAAACAGGUGUUUAAAUGCCUACUACGCGCUGACGCCCAACCAGCCUGAGUCUAGGAAGAGUGAAGUGCUGAGCUCCCAUUUUUGCUUGAAAUUACAAUCUAGGGGAGGUUUUCCCUCAAUCUUUAUGCUACAUAAAGGAACCCUUUUUCAUGUAACUGACUGCUUCGACAUUUAUCCCUUUUCAUAAUUUGGAUUUUCAUGCUUCAGGUUUUCUUGAAGGUGUGUUUCUGUCUCUUCAGUUAGAUUUGUCAUCCUGGCACUUGCUGAUCAUAGCCACUGGAUGGCAGCAAAAGAACAUAGAAGAGUUUGUUUUGCUUUUGCAUUCGCAAAAAUGAAGAGAAAGCUAUUUGGAUUUCGUGGGUGAUGAGAAAAUAAAGUGAUUAAAACUUGAUAUGUAACUAAAGCAGAGGAAAGACCAUGUGAAGACAAAGUGGCCAUCUGCAACCCAGGAAGUGAUCCUCACCUGGAACUGAAUCAGCUGACACCUUAAUCUUGGACUUUGAGCCUCCAGAACUGUGAGAAAACAGGCGAUCCAAAGCCAGGCGUGAAGUUUAGGAAACCAGGCCCUCUGCCUUGGCUUCCUCCUUCUGUCACCUCCAGGAGCUUGCUGCAGGCACUAGGAAUAUGACUGAGAAGGCCCUCUGAUUCGGAGCUUAGUGGCACAUGAGAUGACAGAUCUAAAAUGACCGUGCUACCAACACCACAAGGCUUUGGUUUUUUGGCCACAAGGCAAGUGGGAUCUUAGCGCCCAGACCAGGGAUCAAACCUGCGCCCCCUUCAUUGGAAGGCGAAGUCUUAACCACUGGACCACCAGGGAAGUCCUCUAGACCAUGUUCUUUGACAUAAUUCUACUGUGGCCUUAGGUGUUAAUUCCAAGCUCGCUUCCUAGUAAUUCACCAGCAUGCUAUUCUCCAGCUCAGGAUCCACUUCCAAGGGAACCCAACUUGCAACCGUUGGUGCCACAAGUGGUCAAGAAAGCAGAUGCUGGAGUGAGAUUUUAGAGCUGGAUCACUUGCUGCCCAGUUGCCAAUAAAGAGUCCAUCACCAGCAGAAGGUGCCCUCUCUCUGUCGUGCUUCUUCAGAAAAGCAUCUCAUCAGCCAGCUGGGGCCUCCUUGGCAAUGGUAAUCGUGUCCUUCCCACCCCAGGCUCACUUUACUGAGAUAGGAAGUGACAGGCAGGGAGACCUCCUGCUCUUGGAUUCUUGGGAGGGGAAUACAAAGCAUUAUAUCAGACACUGCCACCAGGCCGGCUCUUUGGGGUUGCAUUAGGCAGUCAAGCAUUUUGCUGCCUGCUGAAUGUCAUCUCAUUUAACAUUUUGUUAAACAGCUUCUAAAGGUCUUAACAAUAUGACAGAUGGGCCAUUGACUGGGUACUUAGGAGCUAAGUACCAGUUUGGCUGGGCUGGAUUGUGUUUAUUGUUCAUUAAGUGUUAUUUAAAGAACUCAGUCUUGAUGCCUCCCACCCUCUGCCCAUCUCUCAAUGCACACUUUCUGCAGGACCCCAGGGUGUCGCAUUAGAGGCCUGUUUCUAUAGAAAAGCACAGUGGAAAGGAAAGUGUGGAGAGAGGCUCAGCAAGGAGAAGAAAUGGGAAAACAAGUGGAAAGAAGUGGAAGGAGGCAGAAAAAAGGAUGUGUGUGUGUGUGUGUGUGUGUGUGUGUGUGUGUGUGGUGAGGAGUAGCUGGAAGGGGUUAUGGUUCAAAGGCAACCAUAACAGCCAAAUGAGACAGAGCCAAGUGGAUUACUUCUGCAGAUGGCAGACCCUGUCCCUAAUGGCUUCAGUUCCAGAGAGGAUCACCCUCCACCUUGUUCCCAAAUUCAGAAGGAGGGAAGAGGGUGUCUGUGCAGUGGCAGCUGCUCCUUACACUGACCACAACUGGCAUUGUCCUCUGUUGUGUGGCUCUUAUCUUCCCAGGUCACUGUAAGUGAUAAAAGGACAAGAACCCUCUUCACCUUUGUUUUCCCCAAGAAGUAGAUAACAGCGCCUGGUGUAGAAGAAGCACUAAGUGACUUGCUUUUGGUUGAUCAUGAACUUUGCCUAUGUAGCACAGUCAGGUUCCUGCAGUUAAAACGUAAACUGAGGCAUAUUAAAACUUUUAGUUUGUUUGAGCAAAAAUCAAUUUGGGUUGGACAGCAUCAAAUUGGAAAUGGGUAGAAGCGCUCCACCAUCAGGAGCUGGGGAAAGCGUUAUAUAGAGAAGGUACAGAAACAAAGAAAGGAAACUUUUGAUUGGCUAUGGCUUGAAGCUCAGUUGGCUGUUUGUGAUUGCUUGUCCUUAGGUUUUGAUUUCGUUACCUUGAGACAUUUGCAGGCUUAGGUUUUGGUUUGCUUACAUAGAUCAUGGGGGUAGAGCAGAAUAUACCACCCCAGAAUGUGCUACUUUGGCAUGUGGAUUAUUUUGAGCUUGAAGGCAGGGGCCAGCAGAUUCAGGAAGAGCAUCUUACCUCCCCACUUCGAAACCGAGCAGGAUCCUGCGGGGCCUACUGACUACAAAAGCCCCUCCAUGCCCCCCUGUUUCUUGUUUGUAGAAAAAGCCUUUAGUCUGCUAAGCCUUCCCUGAAUUCCAAAGAGAGAUUUAAGCAGUUAUUAAUUAGAGAAGUGAGGGCAUGCAGAAACGAAGGAAAAGCAGGCAAGAAACAAUAGUUCAGCAAUAAAACAGAGUUCCUCCUCAAGGAAUAUAUUGAAUACAUAACAGUCUGACACAUAUCUUUGAGUUGUUCUGCAGGAGCUAAGAUACCCCACCCAGGUGGAGGAUGGUGACCUCAUGCUGAGCACAAGCACGUAGACCCCAGACUGGCUGAAACCAGAAGGUUGAUGAAUAAGAUUCCCCAAAUAUCACCCUGUUACCUCACCACCAACCAAUCAGAAGAAAGUCAUUCCCCUUGCAACUCUCACCCCAGAUGUUCCCUUUCAAAUUAAGCCCUUUUCUGAAAGCCAUUGGGGAGUUUGGGUCUUUUGAGCACAAGCCACCCAUACUCCUUGCUGGGCCCUGCAAUAAACAAACACUGUACUUUCCUUCACCACAACACAAAUUGGCUUUGCUAUGCAGUGGGCCAGCAGACCCAUGUUUGGUCUGGUAACACCUUAACUGCCUAAAAGAAUUUAGAUAUGGACCUGUACCUGGAAGAGAACUAUUGUCAGAGAUAAGUUUUAUAUCAGAAAGAUUUAUCUGCAUGGCAAACAUUUGUUUUCCAAAUAUUUGCUUUUCUCAUCUUCCUAUGAAUUGUCUUUCUCUACUUUGAAGCCCCAAACCUUACCCGCUCUUCUUAGUUCAGAUGGUAUAUUAACCUCAAUUAUAUGUGGAGAGAGCCCUGUGGAAAGGUUAAUACAGUGACCUGGAGCAAGGGGCAGGGAGUCUGAGCCAGCAGAGGGGAGGGUGGACCCGAGCUGACCAGCACUGGUCUUUGGAGAUCAUGCUGAUUCCUACUGACCUGGGUUGCACUGAAAACAUAUUCUCAUAUUUGCCAAAUCAGGUUCCAUUUUUUUUAUUUUGGGAAGUCAAAAAAGUCACAUCAUUAAUGACUUCCUUCUAGAUUCACUAGAAACAAAUGGAUAAAUGUUGGAUAAAAUAAUAAAUAUAUUUUCAUCAAGCAGCAGUCAUUUGUGCAUACUUCAGGGGAUAUAUUCCUAUAGGUUUUUGUUGCUGGCAUGAUUGGACCCAAUAAAUAUUCUAAGAAUUGACUAAGAUGGUACCACAAGAUUGAGUAGAAAUCACAUCACCAUUUCCCUCCAAGUUCUUGUGACCAGGAGCUUGAGAUGUCAGCCUGAAAACCACAUUUUAUAAAUUCUUUGUUAAUUGAUGGGUGGUGGGCUGAUUUUCCUCUUCUGACUAUGUCCUUUAUGCAGUGGAAUUCUUCUCAGUGGUUGAGUUUGACUUUUAUGUGUUGGUGGACAACUCCUCUCUUCCCUUCUAUAAAUUGUUUUUCUUGCUGCCGUUCUUUUUUUC